UACGGAGGGUGCAAGCGUUAUCCGGAUUCACUGGGUUUAAAGGGUGCGUAGGAGGGCAGGUAAGUCAGUGGUGAAAUCUCCGAGCUUAACUUGGAAACUGCCGUUGAUACUAUCUGUCUUGAAUAUUGUGGAGGUGAGCGGAAUAUGUCAUGUAGCGGUGAAAUGCUUAGAUAUGACAUAGAACACCCAUUGCGAAGGCAGCUCACUACGGGAAUAUUGACGCUGAGGCACGAAAGCGUGGGGAUCAAACAGG
rnacentral:rRNA from 1 species